CCUACGGGAGGCAACAGUGAGGAAUAUUGGUCAAUGGUCGGGAGACUGAACCAGCCAAGCCGCGUGAGGGAUGAAGGUACAGAGUAUCGUAAACCUCUUUUGUCAGGGAACAAAGGCGGGGACGUGUCCCCGGAUGAGUGUACCUGAAGAAUAAGCAUCGGCUAACUCCGUGCCAGCAGCCGCGGUAAUACGGAGGAUGCGAGCGUUAACCGGAUUUAUUGGGUUUAAGGGGUGCGCAGGCGGUCUGUUAGGUCAGCGGUCAAAGCCCGGGGCUCAACCCCGGCCCGCCGUUGAAACUGGCAGUCGCGAGUUGGAGAGAAGUAUGCGGAAUGCGCGGUGUAGCGGUGAAAUGCAGAGAUAGCGCGCAGAACUCCGAUUGCGAAGGCAGCAUGCCGGCUCCACACUGACGCUGAGGCACGAAAGCGUGGGUAUCGAACAGGAUUAGAUACCCCUGUAGUC
rnacentral:rRNA from 1 species